GAUGAACGCUAGCGAUAGGCCUAACACAUGCAAGUCGAGGGGCAGCAUAGAGUAGCAAUACUUUGAUGGCGACCGGCGCACGGGUGAGUAACACGUAUGCAACCUACCUACAUCAGGGGAAUAACCCGGAGAAAUUCGGACUAAUACCGCAUAAUACAGGGAUGCCGCAUGGCACUAUUUGUUAAAGAUUUAUCGGAUGUAGAUGGGCAUGCGUUCCAUUAGCCUGUUGGUGAGGUAACGGCUCACAAAGGCAACGAUGGAUAGGGGAACUGAGAGGUUUGUCCCCCACACUGGAACUGAGACACGGACCAGACUCCUACGGGAGGCAGCAGUGAGGAAUAUUGGUCAAUGGACGAGAGUCUGAACCAGCCAAAUCGCGCGAAGGAAGACUGCCCUACGGGUUGCAAACUUCUUUUGUACAGGAAUAAAAGACAUUACGUGUAAUGUAUUGCAUGUACUGUAUGAAUAAGCAUCGGCUAACUCCGUGCCAGCCGCCGCAGUAA
rnacentral:rRNA from 1 species